rnacentral:rRNA from 1 species
GUCUAUGGCUGUAUCAGCCUCAACGCGCCCGAUCGCGUCUGAUCUCGGAAGCUAAGCAGGGUCCGGCCUGGUUAGUAUUCGGAUGGGAGAUUGAAAAGGAGACUCUAUGAAAU